ACCUACGGGAGGCAGCAGUAGGGAAUUUUCGUCAAUGGGCGCAAGCCUGAACGAGCAAUGCCGCGUGAACGAGGAAGGUCUUCGGAUCGUAAAGUUCUGUUGAAGGGGAAAAAGAGCGGAGAGAGGAAAUGGUCUCCGAUUGAUAUUACCCUUCGAGGAAGUCACGGCUAACUACGUGCCAGCAGCCGCGGUAAUACGUAGGUGGCGAGCGUUAUCCGGAAUGAUUGGGCGUAAAGGGUGCGUAGGCGGCCUGCUAAGUCUGGAGUGAAAGGUACCGGAUCAACAGGUACAGGCUCUGGAAACUG
rnacentral:rRNA from 1 species